GGAAUUCAAAUAAAUAGAACCUUAGUGUGAGCUUGUAUAUUUAUUCGGCUGGGGAUUUGGCUGUGUUUAAUAUUUGCUAUAGCUGUAGGUGCCAGAGGCUUCAAAUUCCCCUAGAGUCCUUGUUUUUGGCUCCCCUGCUGACUUUGGGCUUACCUAAAUCUUCCUCCUGAAAGACAGCCUGUGUCUUGCAGCUCUUUCAGCUGGAAUCCAUUGUGAUUUUACUGACUCCCUGUUGGUGUGGUGGUGAGGUAUGCAGGAAGGGAAGCAUUCUACAAUCUUAUGAUUACAUCUCAGCAUCUUAAUUGGCCUGUGUCCCUGGGUUGUGAUCUUCACAAGUAUUUCUUAAUAAUCUUUAUGCCCUUUCUUAGACAAGAAUAUCCAAGGGGGCUAGAGUCAGAGAAAUGCUCUUCUCCCAUCUGACUAAGGCUGUGGUGGUCUUUUGCCCUGGAGAAUAAGCUUGUCCUAUGAAGAACACUGCUUGUACUUCGGAAAGAAUACUCUUCCCCUUCCUUUGCCAGAACCAUGAGGGAAUAUUUUCAUCUCCUCACCAUGGUAAUAUUAAAAUAAAAUUCUUAGCCAAAUUAAAUUUAAUAGAGUUUAAUUGAGCAAAGAACAAUUCACAAAUCAGGCAACCUCCCGAGCCAAAGUAGGCUCAAAGAGGCUCUAGUACAGCCACUUGGUGGAAGAAGAUUUAUGGACAGAAAAAGGAAAGUGGUAUACAGAAAACAGAAGUGAGGUGCAGAAACAGCCAGAUUGGUUACAGCUUGGUAUUUGCCUUAUUUAAACAUGGUCUGAACAGUUGGCCCCCUUGGAUUAACCAGAACUCAAUGAUUGGCAUGAGAGUAGGUUACAGUCUGUUUACACAUCUAUUUAGGUUAUAGUUCACUAUGUACAGAGAAACCUUUAGGCCAAACUCAAAAUAUUUAAGGAGGCAGCUUUAGGCUUAAUUUAACAACAGCCUGGUGGGAUUCCUGGAAGUCAAACCCAGGAAAGUCUGGGGAUCCCCAGUAGUUUCUCACUCUCACAGUAGUUCACACUCAGCCUUAAGCAAUUUGUUAAAAUUCCCAUUUAAAUUGUUCCUACCGGUUUAUGGCCCCAGCAACUUCUGCUCCUGGCAAGCAGAUCUCUAGAUCUGCUUCAAGCUGUGACUCUAGAUUUGCCUGUCUCUCCAGAUUUUAGGGUAGCAGUUUGUCCUGAGGCCUCAGUUCUCUGAUGAGUCUGAGAAAAGUCAUUGGUCUUCAGCUUGUUCAGUUUUUUCUUGUUGCAAGGAGGGGAGUGAUGACCUCUAAGCUUUUUGUGUGUCAAAGCUGAAACUAGAAGUCCCAUGCAUUUUUCCCCGAUAUUUAUUAGAAGCCUACUCCAUAUCAUGCCACAUGGCAGUGAACACAAGACACAAAAUCCCUGCCUUUGCUGAGCUGACAUAGAUAUCUGGGAACUUCUAAUGCUUCAUUUCCAGCCUUGCCUUUCCUCCUAAAUCAAAGAUACAUGCCUCUAGCUGUUAGAAGGGUGUCCCAUUGGCCCCUCGAACCCAAUAUUUCCAAUCUGGAGCUCGGUUUCUUCUCCACCAAACCAGCUGCUAGUUCUGCAUUCACUCUGGUCCUUUUAGACACUGAUCACUUCCUCCCCCAAAUUCCUCUAUUUUAUCAAUAAACCUGUCACUUGCUUCUUCUUAGCUCUUAACUGAGACCUGUGCUCUUCAUCCCCAUAGCCAUAACCUUAGUUUGGGUCGCAGUCACCUCUGUCUGGGAUGUUCCGGUGGUCUCCUGACUUCAAUGCCCUCCAGUCCUUUGCCUACAUUACUACCCUACUUAUAUUUUUAAUGUUCCCUUAUUAUUCUUAAAAUAUCAUGAAUAUAAGACAAAGUCCAAGUUUCUCACCAUGCAUGCAAGAUCCUUUACCUUCUGGUCACCAGCUGCCUACUCAUCUUUCCAUUCUCAUCUCCAUAACUCCUCCCACCCCUUGCCAACUGUGCCGGGGCAAGUCCCUUUGCCCACAUUGUCCUUGCUCUCUCCCCAUGUCCCAUGGACCCCCUAAUAAUCCUUAAGCAGCUCGUUCAUCUUUCCUUAAUUCCUAGGCAAAAUGAAUUCAUUCCUUUUCCAUGUUUACACACAUGCAUGUUUUCUGUGACGUUUAACUCUCUAAGGUGAUUAUAAAUAUAUAUUUUUUCUCUUCUGCUAAAAAAUAUGUGGCUUUUUAGGAGACACAGCUCACCCUCAGUUACUUCUUGUGGCCUGACAAGCCAGAGGUAUACAGCAAGCAAUAAGUAUUAGUUCUCACACCAAGAAACCAUAUGAAAAUUGAAAUAUUUGAUUAAUAUUUGUUGCAAGAAAAUUGAAAUAUUUCAUCAAUAUUUGUUUCAAGAAAACAAUGUUUACUAUUAUAAAAUGGAAGGAUCUGGGCUUUUCACUGACUUUUAUCUUUAUCCUGGUCUUGAGAUUACCUGGCUGAUUUCUACGUUUACUCUUGCCCACCUGACACCCUUAUCAUACCCUCAUUAGAAAUACACUAAGCAAGCAACCAAAUAUUUUAUUAACUAAUAAUAUAACAGGAAAAAUAAGCAAAACCCCAUGCAUCUUCAAACAUUUGUCUCAUUUUGCAUGCCUUCCUCUGUUUAGUAAAUUAUAUGAUUUAAAUGUAGAAGUCCCACCAUGAAGGAAACCUCACUAUUCACCAAGGAGGAGAACAGAAGGAAAAACAAACUCUCCACUAAUGUGUUUUAAAAUUAAACCAGGUGUGUCUGAGUCAUCACUGUGUCCUCUCUGCACAUGUUAUUGGGCAGCACCUUCAUCCCAGGCCCACUGCUAAGCACUUCCAUGGAAGAAGCCUGUGACCAGCAACGGGAGAAAAGAGUCUUUAAUCACUGUCAUUCAUAUUCUCAUUUUUCUCCAAUUUCACCUGGGUCUGGGCAGUUCUCACAGGUGUGUUUAUUCUGUCCAUAGGCUUAGACACUUAAAUUUUUAUGCGAGUAAUAAUCCAAUAGUCAGACACUAGAUAAAUUUGUCUCUGUUUCUUUUUGCUAGUGAUAUAUCUCACUGGUCAGGCCAUAGGUGGUAUUGCCAGCUUCAGCCACCAUAAGCGUUCAAUAUCAGCCAAAGUAUAGUGUUCAGAGCUGGCAGUGCAACACAGCUUCUGCAGGUGAUAUUUGAUAGGCAGAAUUCCUUUCCUAAAUGCACCCUACUGGCUUCAGAUAUUUUACCGCAAAUAAUCAUAAUAUUGAACUUAAAGCUUCUACAAGUUCACAGUGAAAAAUCUGAUCAGAUUACAUAUAUGCUCAAGUUUUAUUGUUCUCUUAAAGUUGGAAGCAAUAAAUAUGUAAUAAAAAUGAAAAUAUAUUUUAAUAUUAGUUUCCCUGAUGUCAUUUCUCUACAGAAUAUCCUUAACUGUUACUUACAGAUAGGUUGAUAAACAGUGGAAAUAAAAAGUCUACACCUACAAAAACCUCUUUUAAACGGAAUUUAUAUUAAAUACUUAGGAUAGCUCUAUUCAGCCCUACUGGCUGAAAACCAACAUUCCUAACCAUUUGUUUGUCCAAACAGUGGUCCUAUGUACCCAGGCGACCAGUCUGAUGGUGAUGCUAUGUGCUGAUGAUGAAGCAGAAUUGAUGCUGGGGGAAGGGGCUCAGGUUAAAGUUUGCUUCUCUCUUCCUUCCAACCCAACUUCCCUCCAUCAAGCAAGCCUCCGGAAAGCUUGCUUUGAAGUGUAUCUUUUUCAUUUCUCUCCCCAGCUGGAGGCUUGUGGUCCAUGGUCUCACUGUUUCAAAUUCACUGUGGUUUGUAAAUAGAAAUAUUUCAUCCUAGCAGGGUAACUGAAAACAGAGGUUUCUAUAAGUACCCAGGCCCACCACCCAUGGAGGCCACAGGGUAAAAUUACAACAGGACCCACCUCUCUGGUUGUCCCAGUCAGCCAGAGAAUUUGCCUCUGCAUUUAGGAUCUUGAUUUUUCCAGGAAAGUCACGAAAAUUGGUCAUCUUCCUCCACCCUGAAUGUGAAAGUCGAGUAGGAAGUCGCAUUGAGCUUAUCCUCCACCCAGGCCCCAGUUUAGUAUCAGACUGACAAUCCUGUAACUUUGGAGAGAACACAUUUGUGAAAAGCAUAAUCAAG
rnacentral:lncRNA from 1 species